GAUCCUGGCUCAGGAUGAACGCUAGCGGGAGGCCUAACACAUGCAAGCCGAGCGGUAUAGAAUCUUCGGAUUUUAGAGAGCGGCGUACGGGUGCGGAACACGUGUGCAACCUACCUUUAUCUGGAGGAUAGCCUUUCGAAAGGAAGAUUAAUACUCCAUAAUAUAUUGAUUGGCAUCAAUUAAUAUUGAAAGCUCCGGCGGAUAGAGAUGGGCACGCGCAAGAUUAGUUAGUUGGUGAGGUAACGGCUCACCAAGACGAUGAUCUUUAGGGGGCCUGAGAGGGUGAUCCCCACACUGGUACUGAGACACGGACCAGACUCCUACGGGAGGCAGCAGUGAGGAAUAUUGGACAAUGGGUGCAAGCCUGAUCCAGCCAUCCCGCGUGAAGGACGACUGCCUAUGGGUUGUAAACUUCUUUUGUAUAGGGAUAAACCUCUCCUCGUGAGGAGAGCUGAAGGUACUAUACGAAUAAGCACCGGCUAACUCCGUG
rnacentral:rRNA from 1 species